rnacentral:rRNA from 1 species
UACGUAGGGCGCAAGCGUUAUCCGGAAUUAUUGGGCGUAAAGAGCUCGUAGGCGGUUUGUCGCGUCUGCCGUGAAAGUCCGGGGCUCAACUCCGGAUCUGCGGUGGGUACGGGCAGACUAGAGUGAUGUAGGGGAGACUGGAAUUCCUGGUGUAGCGGUGAAAUGCGCAGAUAUCAGGAGGAACACCGGUGGCGAAGGCGGAUCUCUGGGCCUUACCUGACGCUGAGGCGCGAAAGCGUGGGGAGCGAACAGG